CUGAAAUUUCCACCGGAAGUUAAGCUGAAAAGGAAGUGCUUUUAUUCUGAAAUUUCCACCGGAAGUUAAGCUAAAAUGGAUGUGGUUUUAUUCUGACACUUUCACCGGAAGUAAAGCUGCAAUGGAAGUGCUUUUAUUCGGAAAUUUCCACCGGCCCUAGCAGCUAACUGCCUAGCAGAAAGUAACUUCACAGUCAGCCUCGGAGGGAGCACGUUUCAUCCAAGAGAGAAGCUAGCAGCGGUGAGGAUUGUUAAACUCUUCAGAAAUAAUGUUUUGUCCAUAUUGUGGGAUAAACCUUGAGAGGGUCCUCUCCUACUGCGGCUCUUGUGGCAGAAAUAUCCAGUGUUUAAGAAGUCUUCAAUCCGAAGCAGGUCCUGAAGAAACUACCAUGGAUGAACUCAUCUACAAAUAUUUCACAGAUGGUCAUACCUCUGAUAUAAUAGUGGAUUUACUAGCAACCAAACACAACAUUUCAACUAGCCUCAGCACAGUAAAAAGAAGACAGUGUCAGAAUAAAACCACAUCCAUUUUAGCUUAACUUCCGGUGGAAAUUUCAGA